GUCCUGACUUCCUUUGAUGAUGAACAGCAGUAUGGAAGUAGAGUAACUCAGCCAAGGACUUGUGAUAUUCCUGUGGCUUCUUGCUGCUUCCGAGGACUUGGGCUGAUUGGCUGGUGGAACCCCGUGGCUUCUUCCAAACCCAACUGCCAUUGCUGAUUCGUGACUGGUGAUUGCCGAAUGGACUGGACUGCUGCUGCUGCUUUGUGUUGGUGUUUGCUACAGGACUGGACUGCUGACAACGGAUAUUGGAAUAGCCCCCAAAACUAAACAGGUCCACAACCCCCGUUCCCUAAUUAACCUUUCUCUUCCAUUACCUCUGGUGGGUGGUGGACUAGAACCCUUAUUAAAAUAGGUUUUUGAGAA